rnacentral:lncRNA from 1 species
GGAAAGCUUUAUCUCAUUCACAUGUGGAAGAAUUAAGGCAUUACUGGGGUUAAGUCAUAAAGUAAUGAAGUCCCAUCGAUUAUUAUUGCAGUUAACAAUUAUUUUUAAUUAGUUCAGUAAUCGCACAUCAACGCUGGGGGUAUUAUACAACUCGUCUCGAAGAGUUAUUGUCCGUUAUCGAGCCCGAGUUAUCUUUCUUCUUUCGAAACCGUAAACAAAUGGCGGCCAAAAUCUACGUGAACGACAGUCUCGAUUUACAAGUAUUAUUGCCAAGAAAACGAAAACGGGUUUUGAAAGAAAAUAAUUCAGUAGCUCAUAGAAAUAGAAUUUUGAAACACACGUGUGCUUAAGAAAUGUUGCCGAAUGGAAGUGAAAGUGAUAUACAGUAGGCAAUGACAAAAAUUAUCUUCCGACUCAAUCAAUCUACGUUUUCGACACUCGUUUUUAAGGCAAACUGCUUCUCACUCUAUGAAAAGGUUACGGACGCUCAACCUAUGAUAUUUAUCUACAUUUUAUCAAAAUUUGACCGCACAACUCGCUACGGUUCCCGAGUUUUCAAUGACCAAAACUACGAGGUCGUUUUUGCUGAAGCACAUGUCAAAUUAAUCCCGGUCAGGCAAACGGCUCGUGCAAAUAAAUUUCGGCCAGGGAAUCCCGCG